rnacentral:rRNA from 1 species
GAUGAACGCUAGCGGCAGGCUUAAUACAUGCAAGUCGAACGGGGAAUUUGGGUAGCAAUACCUGAUGAUAGUGGCGCACGGGUGCGUAACGCGUAUGCAACCUACCUUUAACAGGGGGAUAGCCCGGAGAAAUUCGGAUUAAUACCCCAUAGUAUUAUGGAGAGGCAUCUUUUCAUGAUUAAAGUUCCGGCGGUUAAAGAUGGGCAUGCGUGCCAUUAGCUAGUUGGUGAGGUAACGGCUCACCAAGGCGACGAUGGUUAGGGGUCCUGAGAGGGUUAUCCCCCACACUGGUACUGAGACACGGACCAGACUCCUACGGGAGGCAGCAGUAAGGAAUAUUGGUCAAUGGGCGGAAGCCUGAACCAGCCAUGCCGCGUGCAGGAAGACGGCCUUAUGGGUUGUAAACUGCUUUUGUCAGGGAAUAAACCCUCGUUUGCGAACGAGGCUGAAGGUACCUGAAGAAUAAGCAUCGGCUAACUCCGUG